UAACACCGGGCGACUCUUGAUCUCG
rnacentral:piRNA from 1 species